AUAUACGGCUAUAGAUGGUAGAAAAUUCGGGAUCCUAUCCAUUUUCCUAUAAAUAAGCUACUAAUUACUUAACUAGUAGUUAGGUUGGUGACGAUUAGCGAAUCCUAAGUGUUGUAUAUU
rnacentral:rRNA from 10 species